rnacentral:tRNA from 1 species
GGGGGUUUAGCUCAGUUGGCUAGAGCGUUUGACUGGCAGUCAAAAGGUCACCGGUUCGACUCCGGUAAUCUCCACAA